rnacentral:rRNA from 1 species
GAUGAACGCUGGCGGCGUGCUUAACACAUGCAAGUCGAGCGAUGAAGUUUCCUUCGGGAAAUGGAUUAGCGGCGGACGGGUGAGUAACACGUGGGUAACCUGCCUCAUAGAGUGGAAUAGCCUUCCGAAAGGAAGAUUAAUACCGCAUAAUGUUGAAAGAUGGCAUCAUCAUUCAACCAAAGGAGCAAUCCGCUAUGAGAUGGACCCGCGGCGCAUUAGCUAGUUGGUGGGGUAACGGCCUACCAAGGCGACGAUGCGUAGCCGACCUGAGAGGGUGAUCGGCCACAUUGGAACUGAGACACGGUCCAA